rnacentral:rRNA from 1 species
CCUACGGUGUGCAGCAGUGAGGAAUAUUGGUCAAUGGGCGCGAGCCUGAACCAGCCAAGUAGCGUGAAGGAUGACUGCCCUACGGGUUGUCAACUUCUUUUAUAAAGGAAUAAAGUGAGGCACGUGAGCCUUUUUGUAUGUACUUUAUGAAUAAGGAUCGGCUAACUUCGUGCCAGCAGCCGCGGUAAUACGGAGGAUACGAGCGUUAUCCGGAUUUUUUGGGGUUAAAGGGAGCGUAGAUGGGUUGUUAAGUUAGUUGUGAAAGUUUGCGGCUCAACCGUAAAAUUGCAGUUGAUACUGGCAGUCUUGAGUACAGUUGAGGUAGGCGGAAUGCGUGGUGUAGCGGUGAAAUGCUUAGAUAUCACGAAGAACUCCGAUUGCGAAGGCAGCUUACUAAACUGCCACUGACAUUGAGGCUCGAAAGUGUGGGUAUCAAACAGGAUUAGAUACCCGAGUAGUC